AGACCAAGGAUAUGGUUUCGUUGUAGAGGGGGAAGGUUCAGUUUUUCCAAGUGCACCAUGACAAUCACCGCAGUCUCUCCCUUAAUGCUUGUCACCCAAACCCUCCCAUUGUUAGAGAAAUGCAAAACCAUAACUGAACUGCGCCAGCUUCACGCCCACAUAGUCAAAUCAAACCUCGUCAACCACACAUCCACCAUAACCAAACUCAUUUCCCUUUGCUCCCACCAUGGUGGCCUAGACCAUGCUCUUUCAGUCUUUCAUCGAAUCCCGGACCCCAACCCCUUCAUCUUUUUCUCACUCAUAAAGCAAAUGACCGAGAGUUCAAGUCCAACAGAAGCUGUACUCUUCUAUGCUCGCAUGCUCUCUUCUUUGGAAAAUUUGAACGGGGUCGAGUUUUUGCUCCCUGCAUUGCUCAAAGCGUGCAGCAAGUCAUGUGCUUUAGAGGAGGGGAGGCAAGUUCAUGGCCAGAUAUUGAAAACCCAGAUGUUGUUCGAUCCGUAUGUUGCGAAUGCAUUGAUUAGGUUGUACUCGGAGCUGGGAUGCAUUGGAUUGGCACACCGGGUGUUUGAUAAAAUGGCUCAGAGAGACCAAGUUUCUUGGAAUUCACUGAUUACUGGUUAUUUGAGGGUCGGGGAGGUUGAGUUGGCUCGUGCGAUUUUUAAUGAGAUUCCGGAGAGGGACUUGGUUUCGUGUAAUGCAAUGAUUGAUGGGUAUGGGAAGAGUGGCAAGUGUGAGCUUGCUGAGGAGGUUUUUAGGACAAUGCAUCAUAAAGAUGUGGUUACUUGGACGUCAAUGGUUUCAGGGUAUGUAUUCAAUCACCGUCCGAAGGAAGCAUUGGGUUUGUUUAGGGAAAUGUUGAGUCAGGGCAUUCGGCCUGAUGCCCCGGCUCUUGUUAGUGUUCUCUCAGCCAUUGCCGACUUGGGUUUCGUUGAGGAAGGCAAAUGGGUGCAUGCUUUUAUUUGUACGAAUAAGAUUAGGUUGAAUUCAGGGUUUAUUGGAUCAGCUCUUAUGGAUAUGUAUGCUAAAUGUGGGCAUAUAGGGAAUGCUUACCAUGUCUUUGAAAACAUAGCUCAUUAUAGGAACAUUGGGGACUGGAAUUGCAUGAUCUCUGGCCUUGCUAUGCAUGGCCUAGGUCAUGAAGCGCUGGACAUUUUCCUUGACAUGAAAAUGAAAGAAAUUGAGCCUGAUGAGAUCACUUUCUUAGGACUUCUUACUGCUUGUAACCAUGGAGGUCUAGUUGAUGAAGGUAGAUACUGUUUUGAACUCAUGCAGGAGAAGUACGGACUUGUUCCUAAGAUUCAGCAUUAUGGAUGCAUUAUUGAUCUUUUAGGUAGAGCAGGGCACUUGGAGGAGGCGGUUGAUGUUAUACAGAAUAUUCCCAUAGAGGCGGAUGCUAUAGUUUGGAAGGCAAUUCUCAGCGCUUGCACGAUUCAUGGUAAUGUUGCAAUUGGGGAAAGUGCUGCCCUCAAGGCAAUAGAUUUGGCUCCAGAUGACUCAAGUUGUUACAUUCUCCUCUCGAAUCUUUAUGCCAAAGUAGGGAGAUGGGAUGAUGUGGGCAAUGUUAGAUUGAUGAUGAAACAGAGGGGAGUUCGAAAGAUUCCAGGGUCAAGUUCAGUACUCAUGAAUGGAAAGGUUCAUGAAUUCCUUGUGGGGAAGGAAAUGAAUGUUAAAUACAGUGUUGAGGUUUGUACCAAGAUAGAGGAGGUUGUCUCUAGGUUGAAAUUGGAAGGAUACAAACCUGAUUUGUCUCAAGUCCUUUUGGAUAUUGAGGAGGAAAGCAAAGAGGACUCACUUAUUCUACACAGCGAGAAGAUGGCCCUUGCAUUUGGACUAAUAAACACAAGCAAGGGUUCUCCUAUUCACAUAGUGAAGAACUUAAGGAUUUGUUGUGAUUGUCAUUCAUUUAUCAAGCUGGUUUCUGGAGUUUAUAAUUGUCGAAUUGUUGUGAGAGACCAAAACCGUUUCCAUCAAUUUGAGAAUGGUUCCUGUUCCUGCAAAGACUUCUGGUAAUGCAGUGGCUUACUUCGAAUAAUUGAAUGAAUGGGCAGGUUUUUGUAGCCUUCAAGAGUCAGGACUACAUAAUUCAUGUAUCUAGUCUAUGAAGUUGUAAAGCUGCAUCAUCCUGCAUGUGGAAGAAUCAAGCUCAAUGGGCAGGUUUCAGUCUCAAUCUUUGGCAUUAGGAAUGCAGACUACAUUAGCAUCUCUUCAAAUUCCCCUGGAAAGGAGGGUGGCUCAAUUAUCACUAAUAUGUGCAUUUAGAGGGAAAGCAAAUUUCUUUCUUUCUUUUUCUUCACGAGCAUCCCAGUAAAUGCCAAACUAUACGCAACCCCACAAAUUGAUAGGUGGGCUGCGGGCACAACAUCAUCGUGUUUUGCACGUCUGAUCCUCUUGACUUCUUGAUGGAAAGAUGAAUAAAACAAACAAAAAAGAAAAAAUCUUGGCACUAUUAUUGCAUGUGAGUUUGUGGCUCACGUCUUCUCGUGGAUUUUCUUCACUUGUUCGGACUAGUGACUGUUAAGUGGGGAAUUGUUAGGUGAGAUGAUCAAGUGAGCGAAGUCUCAGCAACAGAAGGAACAUUAGUCAGCUAGUCUCACUUCGUCCCAAUUUUUCAGCAGGUGGUUUGAGCUGCCUCAGCCGGGGAUCACAGUCACCAGAGGAACAAGAGAGCCAGACCCUUUUCAACUUUCAGGUA